rnacentral:rRNA from 1 species
AUCCUGGCUCAGGAUGAACGCUAGCUACAGGCUUAACACAUGCAAGUCGAGGGGCAUCAUGAUCAAGCUUGCUUGAUGAUGGCGACCGGCGCACGGGUGAGUAACGCGUAUCCAACCUUCCCCCUAGUAGGGCAUAGCCCGGCGAAAGUCGGAUUAAUACCCUAUGUUUUCCAAUGAGGACAUCUGAGCUGGAACAAAGAUUCAUCGCUAGGGGAUGGGGAUGCGUCCGAUUAGCUUGCCGGCGGGGUAACGGCCCACCGGGGCGACGAUCGGUAGGGGUUCUGAGAGGAAGGUCCCCCACACUGGUACUGAGACACGGACCAGACUCCUACGGGAGGCAGCAGUGAGGAAUAUUGGUCAAUGGGCGAGAGCCUGAACCAGCCAAGUAGCGUGCAGGAUGGACCGGCCCUAUGGGUUGUAAACUGUCUUUUAUGCGGGGAUAAAGUUCACCACGUGUGGUGUUUUGCAGGUACCGCAUGAAUGAGGACCGGCUAAUUCCGUGCCAGCAGCUGC